ensembl:lncRNA
AGUAGUGCACUAUAUAGGGAAUAGGGCCCUGGUCUAUAGUAGUGUACUAUAUAGGGAAUAGGGCCCUGGUCUAUAGUAGUGCACUAUAUAGGGAAUAGGGCCCUGGUCUAGUAUAGUGCACUAUAUAGGGAAUAGGGUUCUGGUCUAUAGUAUUGCACUAUAUAGGGAAUAGGGCCCUGGUCUAAAGUAGUGCACUAUAUAGGGAAUAGGGCCCUGGUCUAUAGUAGUGUACUAUAUAGGGAAUAGGGCUCUGGUCUAAAGUAGUGCACUAUAUAGGGAAUAGGGCCCUGGUCUAUAGUAGUGUACUAUAUAGGGAAUAGGGCUCUGGUCUAAAGUAGUGCACUAUAUAGGGAAUAGGGCCCUGGUCUAUAGUAGUGUACUAUAUAGGGAAUAGGGCCCUGGUCUAUAGUAGUGCACUAUAUAGGGAAUAGGGCUCUGGUCUAAAGUAGUGCACUAUAUAGGGAAUAGGGUUCUGGUCUAUAGUAUUGCACUAUAUAGGGAAUAGGGCCCUGGUCUAAAGUAGUGCACUAUAUAGGGAAUAGGGCCCUGGUCUAUAGUAGUGUACUAUAUAGGGAAUAGGGCCCUGGUCUAAAGUAGUGCACUAUAUAGGGAAUAGGGCCCUGGUCUAAAGUAGUGCACUAUAUAGGGAAUAGGGCCCUGGUCUAAAGUAGUGCACUAUAUAGGGAAUAGGGCCCUGGUCUAAAGUAGUGUACUAUAUAGGGAAUAGGGCCCUGGUCUAAAGUAGUGCACUAUAUAGGGAAUAGGGCCCUGGUCUAUAGUAGUGCACUAUAUAGGGAAUAGGGU